CGACAUCUGCGGAUGGUUUUGGCGCGGUUUUGAUAUGAUGGGAGACGGAGAUGAUGCUUUGAUCUGGAUUCUGCCGACAUAAAAAGGAGUUAGUUCAGCCAGACAGAGAGUGAGGGAGAGAAGAAAGAAGAGAAGCAACCAGAUCGAAUCCAAAACCGCAAGCGUCAAACACCAAUCGGCAAGCUUUUCAGAUCAAAAACAAACAAAGAAUCCAAAACAAACCCAGACCAAUGCGUGCGUGAUUGAGCUCAUUUGGUCAAAUCGGAAUAUCUGAUUGAGCAUCCAUUUGAUCGAAUCGGAGGAUCCGAUUGAGCAAUCAGAUAUCUUUGAUAUGUUGAGGUUCAACCGUUCAGUUCACUCUUCACAAUAUAAUACUAGACUGUGUUAAAGAGAGGGAGAUAGAGUUGCAGCAUGCCUGUAGAUAAGAGAAGAGAGAGGGCCGGAGAUACAGUCUUCUUAUUUUGAAAUCGAGCAGAGGAAGCUAAUUAUAUUCUGAAAUAGUGGGAAUUGCAGAAAGGUCAGAGAAGAAACUGAAGGUUAUGCCAGCUGUGUUACCAAUAAUUCGACCAAUAUGUGAUUGUUGAGGGUUUUCGCUUUUGUCUGCCAAAAGCAGGUGAAACUAGACGAUAGAAGUUCCAAGGACCGUAGUCUAGAUGAAUCAGAGGGAAGGAUUCAGUAGACGGCUAUUCAUUUGGGGCUUCAAAAUCAGGGAGAUGAGAAGAAUAACAUGAAGAAUUUCACUACAUUGAUCGUGGAUAUGAUGAAAAAAGAGAAACCAUUUGCUUCUCAAGGAGGUCCUAUCAUUAUUGCUCAGAUACAUAUGCUUAGAUAUAUCGAGGUCAAACCUUACAACACCUUUAUCUAACCAAAAUGGAUUACAAAGGCUAAAGUAUAUGCAAGAUUAUCUCCCCUGUCAGUGCUUCUACUCCUGCUGGAUUGUAAAUGAAAGAUCAGUUUGUUUUUUCACUUCCGUUUGCAAUAAAAUCAAAUUUCAUUUACAGGAUUUGUUACAAUAUAAAAUAAUCAUAAUAAAUCAAACAAAGAUUAAUUGCA